rnacentral:rRNA from 1 species
UACGGGGGGGGCAAGCGUUGUUCGGAAUUACUGGGCGUAAAGGGUUCGUAGGUGGCUUGCUCAGUCAGACGUGAAAUCCCUCAGCUUAACUGGGGAACUGCGUCUGAUACUAGCGAGCUUGAGUGCAGGAGAGGAACGCGGAAUUCCAGGUGUAGCGGUGAAAUGCGUAGAUAUCAGGAGGAAUACCGGUGGUGUAGACGGCUCUCUGGACCGCCACUGACGCUGAGACACGAAAGCGUGGGUAGCAAACAGG